rnacentral:rRNA from 1 species
AACGAACGCUGGCGGCAGGCUUAACACAUGCAAGUCGAGCGCCCCGCAAGGGGAGCGGCAGACGGGUGAGUAACGCGUGGGAAUCUACCCAUCUCUACGGAAUAACGCAUGGAAACGUGUGCUAAUACCGUAUACGUCCUUCGGGAGAAAGAUUUAUCGGAGAUGGAUGGGCCCGCGUUGGAUUAGCUAGUUGGUGGGGUAAAGGCCUACCAAGGCGACGAUCCAUAGCUGGUCUGAGAGGAUGAUCAGCCACACUGGGACUGAGACACGGCCCAGACUCCUACGGGAGGCAGCAGUGGGGAAUAUUGGACAAUGGGCGCAAGCCUGAUCCAGCCAUGCCGCGUGAGUGAUGAAGGCCCUAGGGUUGUAAAGCUCUUUCACCGGUGAAGAUAAUGACGGUAACCAGAGAAGAAGCCCCGGCUAACUUCGUGCCAGCCGCCGCGGUAAUAC